rnacentral:tRNA from 1 species
AGGCUUGUAGNCUCAGGUGGUUAGAGCGCACCCCUGAUAAGGGUGAGGUCGGUGGUUCAAGUCCACUCAGGCCUACCA